rnacentral:lncRNA from 10 species
AGUCGCCUCAGCCGCGGUGUGAGGGAGCGGGAGUCUUCCUUAGCUUCUCCGCCAUGGGUGUCGCUUCGUAGCCGGGCUGCUCCGGGAAAGGCCUCGUACAGCACGCAUUCACCAGAAUCCUGUCAGCUUUCCUCUUCUCAUCCAGACGCCUGGCCAGGAUCCUCGAUAAGACCGUGACCCCCAACUUGGACACCCCAUAAGAGACAGGGUUUCGCCAUGUUGGCCAGGCUGGUCCCCAACUCCUGACCUCAUGUGAUCCACCCGCCUCGGCUUCCCAAAGUGCUGGGAUUACAGGCGUGAGCCAUCGCACCUGGCCUGAGUUUGCAUUUCUAGGUUCCCAGAUGAUGUGACAGCUACUGGUCUCCAGCCACACCUUGAGAACACUUGGCUUUGACUACCACUUCUUAAACUUAAAGGGUCUUCUCUGUCGCCCAGGCUGGAGUGCAGUGCUGCAGUCGUGGCUCACUGUAGCGUCAGUCUCCUGAGCUCAGGAAAACUAGACAAUCCACCAGCCCAGGAGGGGACAAGCAGGCUUAUUCCUCCUCCUCGUCAUCUCUGGCUCCAGCCCCACCCUGGCCCUUGCUGGCAUUCUUCCUCUUCACGUGGCUGGGGUUGGCCACCCCAAUAGGGAAGCAGAGGGAGAAGUCAAUGUGCUUCUGGGAAUCCAGGCGGACAGUGAAGAACAGGAUAUUUACCACCUGCUCACGGACACGGAUAUGACACUGUUGAAUCAGCACAUGAGCGUGGCGGAUGGACUUAGCCAAGCCAAGCUUGAAG